rnacentral:rRNA from 1 species
GGGGAAUAUUGCACAAUGGGCGCAAGCCUGAUGCAGCCAUGCCGCGUGUAUGAAGAAGGCCUUCGGGUUGUAAAGUACUUUCAGCGGGGAGGAAGGCGAUAAGGUUAAUAACCUUGUCGAUUGACGUUACCCGCAGAAGAAGCACCGGCUAACUCCGUGCCAGCAGCCGCGGUAAUACGGAGGGUGCAAGCGUUAAUCGGAAUUACUGGGCGUAAAGCGCACGCAGGCGGUCUGUCAAGUCGGAUGUGAAAUCCCCGGGCUCAACCUGGGAACUGCAUUCGAAACUGGCAGGCUGGAGUCUUGUAGAGGGGGGUAGAAUUCCAGGUGUAGCGGUGAAAUGCGUAGAGAUCUGGAGGAAUACCGGUGGCGAAGGCGGCCCCCUGGACAAAGACUGACGCUCAGGUGCGAAAGCGUGGGGAGCAAAC